rnacentral:misc_RNA from 1 species
GUAGGGUUCGUGAUCCUCCUCCUCCCCCUUACGUGCUUCAUUUUACUAACUUACAUCUAGUGAACCUGCGGAAGGAUCAUUAAAGAGUAAGGGUCUUCUAGGCCCGACCUCCAACCCCAUGAAUAUCUUACCACUGUUGCUUUGGCGGGCCCGUUGGGGAGACCCACUGCCGGCCUUGGCUGGUGAGAGCGCCCGUCAGAGACCCCCUAAAAUUCUGUUUAUUGGUGACGUCUGAGUACUAUACAAUAGUUAAAACUUUCAACAACGGAUCUCUUGGUUCUG